GAUGAAGAACGCAGCGAAAUGCGAUAAGUAAUGCGAAUUGCAGAAUUUCCGUGAAUCAUCGAAUCUUUGAACGCACAUUGCGCCCCCUGGUAUUCCGGGGGGCAUGCCUGUCCGAGCGUCAUUACAACCCUCAAGCUCAGCUUGGUGUUGGGCCCCGCCGCCCCGGCGGGCCCUAAAGUCAGUGGCGGUGCCGUCCGGCUCCGAGCGUAGUAAUUCUUCUCGCUCUGGAGGUCCGGUCGUGUGCUCGCCAGCAACCCCCAAUUUUUUUCAGGUUGACCUCGGAUCAGGUAGGGAUACCCGCUGAACUUAAGCAUAUCAAUAAGCGGAGGA
rnacentral:misc_RNA from 1 species